AACCCCUAUUGUGGACACUUCCUCAAGAGGUCCUUGAAACACCCCAAGUCUCAAACAAGGAUUCAAGCUCCAUUUGAACAAAUGAAGAUAUCUCAUUGAGAAGCUU